ensembl:lncRNA LINC01193 long intergenic non-protein coding RNA 1193
GAGAACCAGGCCUGCACAACCCCCCAGUAUAUAAGGUAUGCUAAGGGGGCGUCGCGCUGUUGCAGGCUAUCGUGUGUUAACCUGUACUUCUGCCGCAGAGUUUGGAGAAAGCGGCAGCAGAUUGUGCUGCCGCAGGCUGGAGCCUGGAACCUGGAGCCCUGGAGCCUUGAAUGGUGUGUGGUGGCAAUGGAGAGAGGCAGCUGGCAGUGACAGCUGCUCCGUGCUUGGCUACAGGAAGGAAAGAAGGAGAAAGCACCUACCAUAGGCUGGAGGCUAGAGCCUGCAGGACUGCGGCUGGCCUCGCUGGCUCGCCUCCCUGGCUGGCCUCGCUGUGGUUGGUGGCAGCGACGGAUACUGCAGCUGGCCAGAGUGUAGAAAGGCAAUGGGGAGCGCAGUCCUGGUGGGCCCAGCGGUUCCUGUGGAUUGGAGCCAGGCAGUGUGAUGUUACCAGUCACCACUCCAGGUCCCAGUUCCUGGCCCGCUUGAGCCAAAAGGAGAGGCUGGACUUUGGAGGGUGGAUAUGAGUGCCUUCACUGAGACUGGCCCCUGCCACCCAGUGGCCAGGAUGACAAGCAAGGUAAGCUGUCAUCAGUUGGAGGUAAGCAGAAGACAGUAGAGAGUACAGAGCCCUGGACUGUGACUCAGAGGAUGAGCACCAGAUCCAGUUUGCUGUGCCACAGUGCUCAGCAUGAUGUAAACUCCACUGCGGACAGAUGCAGCCAAGAAGACAGGUCACCUUCUACCAACUCCCACCAGAGGAAACUCUUCCCCAGGACCCAGUACGUUGGCCCUCUGACCCUGCACACAGCACAUGAUGCUGAGGUUCAGUGCUGAACAAGAGCUACUGAGAGCCAGAGAUUCACUUCUUCCAUGGAGCCCCACUCAUGGAUGGAGGCUCUGUCCCGGGUCCAGUGCCACUGGGAACACUGGGUCUCUGGUUUCUAGCUCUGUCCUAUGGCAGAGGUUCCACCCCACAAUAACCGAAGUGCUGAGAAGGUGGGAAGCUCCUGCCCGACCCUCCACUGAGAGCUCAGCUCCUAGGCUGAGGAAUAAAACAGCUCAACUUUGUCUACACCUGCAGAACCUUGUUUAGGAGCUCUGUCCCAGGAGAGAGGGGGCAAUGGAAUUCAGUCAUAAAAUAUGAUCCUUAAUUAGUCCUAAAAAUCCUAACUUCAGUAACAGCAGAUUGUGGACAAAUUGAAAGCCUGCCAGUGCUCUCAAAAACAGUGGAUGGUGUGGUGGAAAGCCCUUGGAAGGAGACGGGUGGAUGCAUGGGAGAUGCAGGCUACACUGCAGGGCUGCUGGCUUGCAGGAGAGAACCGAGGACAAGGGAGAGCUGGGGAAAGUUCUCUUGUGGUUGAAAUAAAUGCCAGACACUCUUCAAUGGAGCCCAUGUUUGUUUGGUUCAGUCUGUGAAGUAAUUCAAACCUCAGUGCAUGAUUGAAAAUAGUACAAUUUUCCAUCUGCAAGUGGCAGAGCUCAACAUCUGGGUCUGGUCAGGAGAGAGACAGAGAGAGCCCAGCCCAAACCACUGACACCUGGGGUUGACAGUGCUGCUUACAGAUGUGUUCCUUUGAUCUUUGAGACUGGUUUCUCUCACUUAGCAUAAUGCCUGGAGUUCAACUGUAAUGGUUUGUGAAUCGAUCAUUUGAUAUUUUUUAUUGCUGAUGGAUUCAAUUUAUAGAUGCUUCCUAGUUUUUUCACCUACUCAAAUUUUGAGACAUUUAUGUUAUUUUUCAUUUCUAACACACACACAUGUAAUAUCUUGAAUAUUUGAAUAGAGGUUUUGUGUGAAAAUAAGAUUGUAUUUCUCUGAAGCAAAAUUCAAGAGUGGGAUAUUUAGGUCAUGUGUUAAGGGCAUGUUUGAUUGCAGAAAAAACUAAAAAUUAUUUUCCCGAGUAGCUGU